UACGUAGGGUCCGAGCGUUAAUCGGAAUUACUGGGCGUAAAGCGUGCGCAGGCGGUUCGUUGUGUCGGCGGUGAAAGCCCCGGGCUCAACCUGGGAAUGGCCGUUGAAACUGGCGAACUGGAGUGUGGCAGAGGGGGGUGGAAUUCCGCGUGUAGCAGUGAAAUGCGUAGAGAUGCGGAGGAACACCGAUGGCGAAGGCAGCCCCCUGGGCUAACACUGACGCUCAGGCACGAAAGCGUGGGGAGCAAACAGG
rnacentral:rRNA from 1 species